rnacentral:rRNA from 1 species
CCUACGGGAGGCUGCAGUGGGGAAUAUUGCACAAUGGGGGAAACCCUGAUGCAGCGACGCCGCGUGAGUGAUGAAGUAUUUCGGUAUGUAAAGCUCUAUCAGCAGGGAAGAUAAUGACGGUACCUGACUAAGAAGCUCCGGCUAAAUACGUGCAAGCAGCCGCGGUAAUACGUAGGGAGCAAGCGUUAUCCGGAUUUACUGGGUGGAAAGGGAGCGCAGAUGGCAGGGCAAGUCGGAUGUGAAAGUCCGGGGCGCAACCCGGGGACUGCAUUGGAAACUGGCCGGCUAGAGUGCAGGAGAGGUAAGUAGAAUUCCAAGUGUAGCGGUGAAAUGCGUAGAGAUUACUCGGAACACCGAUUGCGCAGGCAGCUUGCUAAUCCGCAUCUGACGCUGAUGCACGAAAGCGUGGGUAGCGAACAGGAUUAGAUACCCCGGUAGUC